ACUAGAAUUAACUAACCAUUUAAACUAGAAUCGUCUAACCCUUUAAACUGGAAUUAACUAACCAUUUAAACUAGAAUCGUCUAACCCUUUUAACUAGAAUUAACUAACCCUUUAAACUAGAAUCAACUAACCAUUUAAACUAGAAUCAUCUAACCAUUUAAACUAGAAUCAUCUAACCAUUGUAACUAGAAUUAACUAACCCUUUAAACUAGAAUUAACUAACCAUUUUAACAAGAAUUAACUAACCCUUUAAACUAGAAUCAACUAACCAUUUAAACUAGAAUUAACUAACCCUUUAAACUAGAAUUAACUAACCCUUUAAACUAGAAUUAACCAACCAUUUAAACUAAAAUCAUCUAACCCUUUAAACUAGAAUCAACUAACCUUUAAACUAGAAUUAACUAACCAUUUAAACUAGAAUUAACUAACCAUUUAAACUAGAAUUAACUAACCAUUUGAACUAGAAUAAUCUAACCCUUUAACUAGAAUGAACUAACCUUUAAACUAGAAUUAACUAACCCUUUAAACUAGAAUUAACUAACCCUUUAAACUAGAAUUAACCAACCUUUUAAACAAGAAUUAACUAACCUUUUAACUAGAAUUAACUAACCAUUUAAACUAGAAUCAUCUAACCCUUUAACUAGAAUCAACUAACCUUUUAAACUAGAAUCGUCUAACCCUUUUAACUAGAAUUAACUAACCCUUUAAACUAGAAUUAACUAACCAUUUAAACUAGAAUCGUCUAACCCUUUAAACUGGAAUUAACUAACCAUUUAAACUAGAAUCGUCUAACCCUUUUAACUAGAAUUAACUAACCCUUUAAACUAGAAUUAACUAACCAUUUAAACUAGAAUCGUCUAACCCUUUAAACUAGAAUUAACUAACCAUUUAAACUAGAAUCGUCUAACCCUUUAAACUGGAAUUAACUAACCAUUUAAACUAGAAUCAUCUAACCAUUUUAACUAGAAUUAACUAACCCUUUAAACUAACCCUUUAAACUAGAAUUAACUAACCAUUUUAACUAGAAUUAACUAACCCUUUAAACUAGAAUCAACUAACCAUUUAAACUAGAAUUAACUAACCCUUUAAACUAGAAUUAACUAACCCUUUUAACUAGAAUUAACUAACCCUUUAAACUAGAAUUAACUAACCAUUUAAACUAGAAUCGUCUAACCCUUUAAACUAGAAUCAACUAACCCUUUAAACUAGAAUUAACUAACCCUUUAAACUAGAAUUAACUAACCCUUUUAACUAGAAUCAUCUAACCCUUUAAACUAGAAUUAACUAACCUUUAAACUAGAAUUAACUUACCAUUUAAACUAGAAUCAUCUAACCCUUUAACUAGAAUGAACUAACCUUUAAACUAGAAUUAACUAACCAUUUAAACUAGAAUUAACUAACCCUUUAAACUAGAAUUAACCAACCAUUUAAACUAGAAUCAACUAACCUUUUAACUAGAAUUAACUAACCAUUUAAACUAGAAUCAUCUAACCCUUUAAACUAGAAUCAUCUAACCCUUUAAACUAGAAUCAACUAACCCUUUAAACUAGAAUUAACUAACCUUUUAAACUAGAAUUAACUAACCCUUUAAACUAGAAUCAACUAACCAUUUAAACUAGAAUUAACUAACCCUUUAAACUAGAAUUAACUAACCCUUUAAACUAGAAUUAACCAACCAUUUAAACUAAAAUCAUCUAACCCUUUAAACUAGAAUUAACUAACCCUUUUAACUAGAAUUAACUAACCAUUUAAACUAGAAUCGUCUAACCCUUUAAACUAGAAUCAACUAACCAUUUAAACUAGAAUCAACUAACCCUUUAAACUAGAAUCAACUAACCAUUUAAACUAGAAUUAACUAACCAUUUAAACUAAAACCAUUUAAACUAGAGCCUUGAAAGAGGAGCAACAUGUCAUGUCAUGUCAUGUCAAGCACUGGUUAUGCAAUCUUUCAUCUGAAAGGUAUUUUAAAUAUGUAAGGUGUUUAUUUUCAGUGUGUAUUGGUUUCAGCGCACACGCACGCACGCACACACACACACACACACACACUCAUCUGUCAGUGAUCAUGGCGGCGGUGUCGGCUCGUCGGUUCGUGUCUCUGUCGCUCGGUUCUUUAGUUCCUCGCGCUCGGCUGGUUCGGGCUCAGCAGCACCGGACCGCAGUGAGCACCACCUCCGGCGCCAUUCUGCCCAAACCCAAGAAAACGGCGUUUGGUCUGUUCCGGAUCAUGAUGGUCGUGGCUCCGUUCCUGUACGUCGGGACGCUGAUCAGCAAGAACUUCGCGGCUCUGCUGGAGGAACACGAUAUAUUCGUGCCCGAGGAUGAUGACGAUGACGAUUGAUCACAGGUCUGCCGUCACGAGCGACUGCAUCUGUACGAUCUGACGUCACUUCAGAUUCUCGUAACGAGCGAUCGAUGUUUGUUUCUUUCCUCAGAUGCUGCUGGAGAGUCGCUCAAUAAACACUGGAGAAUCCGUGUGUGAUUCAGUGAUCCGUGUAUAAACAUUCAUCCUGGAGGAUAAGAUUCAUCUGUCUGUAACUGUGUAUUUAUGAAAAUUCACGAACGGUUAAAACGUAGCAAUGUUGAAUUAUUGAUUCUGUUGAACACCGAUCUACAAUAGGGAUAUAUACACACACUUACGAAACGAAUCAGUCGAGUGAACGAUUCAAUGUUUCGAAUCUGAACGAGGAUCUGCUGAUUCUAUUUCAAAUAAAUGCUGUUCUUUUGAACUUUC